AGAGUUUGAUCCUGGCUCAGGACGAACGCUGGCGGCGUGCCUAAUACAUGCAAGUCGAACGCUUCUUUUUCCACCGGAGCUUGCUCCACCGGAAAAAGAGGAGUGGCGAACGGGUGAGUAACACGUGGGUAACCUGCCCAUCAGAAGGGGAUAACACUUGGAAACAGGUGCUAAUACCGUAUAACAAUCAAAACCGCAUGGUUUUGAUUUGAAAGGCGCUUUCGGGUGUCGCUGAUGGAUGGACCCGCGGUGCAUUAGCUAGUUGGUGAGGUAACGGCUCACCAAGGCCACGAUGCAUAGCCGACCUGAGAGGGUGAUCGGCCACAUUGGGACUGAGACACGGCCCAAACUCCUACGGGAGGCAGCAGUAGGGAAUCUUCGGCAAUGGACGAAAGUCUGACCGAGCAACGCCGCGUGAGUGAAGAAGGUUUUCGGAUCGUAAAACUCUGUUGUUAGAGAAGAACAAGGAUGAGAGUAACUGUUCAUCCCUUGACGGUAUCUAACCAGAAAGCCACGGCUAACUACGUGCCAGCAGCCGCGGUAAUACGUAGGUGGCAAGCGUUGUCCGGAUUUAUUGGGCGUAAAGCGAGCGCAGGCGGUUUCUUAAGUCUGAUGUGAAAGCCCCCGGCUCAACCGGGGAGGGUCAUUGGAAACUGGGAGACUUGAGUGCAGAAGAGGAGAGUGGAAUUCCAUGUGUAGCGGUGAAAUGCGUAGAUAUAUGGAGGAACACCAGUGGCGAAGGCGGCUCUCUGGUCUGUAACUGACGCUGAGGCUCGAAAGCGUGGGGAGCAAACAGGAUUAGAUACCCUGGUAGUCCACGCCGUAAACGAUGAGUGCUAAGUGUUGGAGGGUUUCCGCCCUUCAGUGCUGCAGCUAACGCAUUAAGCACUCCGCCUGGGGAGUACGACCGCAAGGUUGAAACUCAAAGGAAUUGACGGGGGCCCGCACAAGCGGUGGAGCAUGUGGUUUAAUUCGAAGCAACGCGAAGAACCUUACCAGGUCUUGACAUCCUUUGACCACUCUAGAGAUAGAGCUUCCCCUUCGGGGGCAAAGUGACAGGUGGUGCAUGGUUGUCGUCAGCUCGUGUCGUGAGAUGUUGGGUUAAGUCCCGCAACGAGCGCAACCCUUAUUGUUAGUUGCCAUCAUUCAGUUGGGCACUCUAGCAAGACUGCCGGUGACAAACCGGAGGAAGGUGGGGAUGACGUCAAAUCAUCAUGCCCCUUAUGACCUGGGCUACACACGUGCUACAAUGGGAAGUACAACUGUCUCUUAUA
rnacentral:rRNA from 1 species